UUUUUAACAAAUCGGAAUAACCUUAAAUUUGGAGCGUGUGUUCAUAAAAAAUAGAUAAAUCUACGAAAAAUAUCAAAAAAAUAUUUUACAUGAAAAAACUUGACCAAAAUACCCCCAAAAAGUUUUGGGGGUAUUUUGGUUAAAUGUUUUUCGCAAAUUAUUUUUUUUAUACUUUUAUUAGGUGUGUCUCACUAAGAUGUACACACGCUCCAAAUUUCAGGUCAUUCCGAUUUGUUGAAAA
rnacentral:pre_miRNA from 1 species